UGAACGCUAGCGAUAGGCUUAACACAUGCAAGUCGAGGGGUAACGUGUUGGAAGCUUGCUUCCGAUGACGACGACCGGCGGAUGGGUGCGUAACGCGUAUGCAACUUGCCUCACAGUGGAGAAUAACCCGGAGAAAUCCGGACUAAUACUCCAUACACUCUUAAGUCCGCCUGUACAUGAGAGGAAAGAUUUAUCGCUGUGAGAUAGGCAUGCGUCCUAUUAGGUAGUUGGUGAGGUAACGGCUCACCAAGCCGACGAUAGGUAGGGGUGCUGAGAGGCAGAUCCCCCACAUUGGGACUGAGACACGGCCCAAACUCCUACGGGAGGCAGCAGUGAGGAAUAUUGGUCAAUGGAGGAAACUCUGAACCAGCCAAGUCGCGUGAAGGAAGAAUGUCCUAAGGAUUGUAAACUUCUUUAGCGAGCGAGUAAGGACUUCCACGUGAUGGGAGUUUGAAAGUAGCUCGAGAAUAAGUAUCGGCUAACUCCGUG
rnacentral:rRNA from 1 species